rnacentral:lncRNA from 1 species
UCUUGUAUGGUAUGGGGCUGCAGCUCACAUUCAGGAAGAAAAGAAAAUAGCCAACAACUUCUGUCGUUUCAUCGGUAAGUUUUUUGUAAUUUUCUAGUGAAAUGUGAACUGCUGAACAAUUUUAGGAAAGUAAUAUGUUUUGCUGAAUAGAUUUGUAGCAUAAAAUAUUUGAGAUAUCUAUUAUAUUAUACGUUUCAUCGAUGAAUACGGAAUUGAUUUGAGGUUAUGUUGAUUGUCCAUAGUGAUGUACUAAAAUUAUCGAUACUUUUAAUUUUUAGAUUUCCUGUAGACGAUAACAAAGAGAAAGAAUGGAUAAUUCGCAUUAAUAGACGAAAUUGGAUUCCAAAUAAGUACAGCCGUAUUUGCUCGAAACAUUUUACUGCGGAUUCAUUUAUGUGUGUUCCUAAUUCAAAGUGGAGGCGUCUUCGAGACGAUGCUAUUCCUACAUUGAACAUUAUAGAUCAGACAGAUGAAAUGGUGUUUAAAUUUAAAUUUCAGCCUAGCCUGCAUCAUCUCACUGCUGGAUAGAUAGAUAAGAUAUUUGUAUCAUGUUAUCACAACACGUUUAUACUAUCUAUCAUUCAACUACAUAUUAUUAUGUACUUAAUAAACUUAGUAUAUACUAAGUCUGUAGUUGUUUUAUGUCUAAACAAUUAUGAGUUGUACACGUUUUAUAUAAGUAAAUUAUUAUUAUCUUUGAUUUCAGAUAUUAAAUCCAAAAGUGUCGACUGGAUUUACAUGAAAAGUCAGUUCAAGAAGACGAGAUGAAAAAUUUAAAAGAAAAGCUGAACAAGUCCCGCCUCAAGAUCAAACGACUUAAUGAAAAAAAAAAAACAAUGUGACAGGGUGUCACAAAGACAGUUUCUAAGCAAAUUGACACUGUUUAGAAAUUAAUAAAUUUGUAUUUAUUGUAAAUAUAAUGUACAUAAUUAAUAACGUGUGAAAUAAAUACUUGCUAAUGAAAAUGAACAGAUUUACGAUCUAAUUUAUAUUUCAUUUUACCUCCUGUUCUUAUUUACUCCUACUCCAACACUCCAGGUUGAUACGAACUGCGCCCAAUAAAGAAUGUAAUGAAUGUUAUAGAUUUGUGUAAGCGACUUAGAUAAAUCUUGACUAAACCUUCCUUUACAAAUACAAAUAUACUUUAUUGCACACAACAUACAAUACUUACAAGUUUUACACGAAAGAUACAGUACACCACCUACCUACCUUUUACUUUCCCUUUCUGUUCUCUUAUGAAUACUUGUAUGCCGUAUUUUUUAAAGUAUAAUGCUAUAUCUAGUAGGUACGAGUAUGGUAAUCCUAGUAUUGAAACAGCUUGUAGCCCUAGUAAAGACCGCCAUUUUAUGUUUACAGAGUGGCACGUUUUUUCUGUAGGUAUUUCCAGUCCAUACUCUUUUCUAUGUCUAUGGCGUGACCCCAUCGGGCCUCUUACCGUCUGUGCGGCUUAGACCCGGCGGCGGUGGUUCCAAUUUGCACGGCACGUCGAUCGACACCAGUGCACGGCGGAUGACAUCAUAAAUAAAUUCGAAUAUUACAAAAUACUUACCGAUGAAACGAUAACAGUUGGCUAUUUUCUUUCCUUCCUGAAUGUGAGCUGCAGCUCCAAACUAAUAUAAACCAGACAAUAUAAUCCAAAAAUGGUUAGAUACUUACCUAUCAGAGACAGAGUCUCCUUUCAUCAAGAAGAAGAUAAUUGCAUCCUACAAAAAGAA